rnacentral:rRNA from 1 species
GAUGAACGCUGGCGGCGUGCUUAACACAUGCAAGUCGAACGAAGCACCUCUCCCGAAGAUUGACACAGCUUGCUGUAGAUUGAUUCAUUUGAGGUGACUGAGUGGCGGACGGGUGAGUAACGCGUGGGUAACCUGCCUCAUAGAGGGGGACAACAGUUGGAAACGACUGCUAAUACCGCAUAGUAAGAAGAAUUCGCAUGUUUUCUUCUUGAAAGAUUUAUCGCUAUGAGAUGGACCCGCGUCUGAUUAGCUAGUUGGUAAGGUAACGGCUUACCAAGGCGACGAUCAGUAGCCGGCUUGAGAGAGUGAACGGCCACAUUGGGACUGAGACACGGCCCAAACUCCUACGGGAGGCAGCAGUGGGGAAUAUUGCACAAUGGGGGAAACCCUGAUGCAGCGACGCCGCGUGAGUGAGGAAGUAUUUCGGUAUGUAAAGCUCUAUCAGCAGGGAAGAUAAUGACGGUACCUGACGAAGAAGCCCCGGCUAACUACGUG